rfam:Prevotella bivia DSM 20514 genomic scaffold Prebiscaffold_3, whole genome shotgun sequence.
AAGAAAGUAAGAAAGGGCGCAUGGCGGAUGCCUUGGCUCAUGGAGGCGAUGAAGGACGUGAUAAGCUGCGAUAAGCUUCGGGUAGAUGCAAAUAAUCUUUGAUCCGAAGAUUUCCGAAUGGGACAACCUAGCGUGUUGAAGACACGUUACUCUUGCAAUGUAAGAGAGCUAACGCAGGGAACUGAAACAUCUUAGUACCUGUAGGAAGAGAAAAUAAUUUAAUGAUUUCCCUAGUAGUGGCGAGCGAACGGGAAGUAGCCCAAACCUAUGACGUAGCAAUGCGCCAUAGGGGUUGUAGGACCACGACAUUGUAUUAAGUCAAUCGAGAAGAAUAUUCUGGAAAGAAUAACCAUAGAAGGUGAUAGUCCUGUACUCGAAGUGCGACUUAGCAUAGUGGUAUCCUGAGUACCGCGGAACACGUGUAAUUCUGCGCGAAUCAGCCGGGCCCAUCCGGUAAGGCUAAAUACUCCCAUGAGACCGAUAGUGAACGAGUACUGUGAAGGAAAGGUGAAAAGCACUCCGCGAGGAGAGUGAAAUAGUUCCUGAAACCAUGCGCCUACAAGCGGUCGGAGCAAAGUAAUUUGUGACGGCGUGCCUUUUGCAUAAUGAACCUACGAGUUACCAUGUCUGGCAAGGAUAAGUGAUUCAGUCACGCAUCCAUAGUGAAAGCGAGCCUGAACAGGGCGUUAUAGUCAGAUGGGGUAGACGCGAAACCAAGUGAUCUACACUUACCCAGGUUGAAGUUCGGGUAACACCGAAUGGAGGACCGCACCAAUAAGCGUUGAAAAGCUUCUGGAUGAGGUGAGUGUAGGAGUGAAAGGCCAAUCAAACUUGGAGAUAGCUCGUACUCCCCGAAAGGCAUUUAGGUGCCGCGUGCUACGAUCAGCAUAAGAGGUAGAGCGACCGAUAGGUCAAGAGGGCUUCACCGCCUAUUGCGACCUGACGAACUCCGAAUGCUUAUGUUUUGCAGUAGUGCAGUAAGGGGGCGGGUGCUAAGGUCCGUCCCCGAGAGGAGAAGAAUCCAGACCGUCAUCUAAGGUCCCGAAAUUCUGUCUAAGUUAGUCUAACGAAGUGUGGUCCCCGUGACAGCUAGGAUGUUGGCUUGGAAGCAGCCAUUCAUUCAAAGAGUGCGUAACAGCUCACUAGUCGAGGGUCCGUGCAUGGAUAAUAAUCGGGUAUUAAGUCAGAUACCGAAGGUGCGGGAUAGUAUUGUAUAUAAAAAGUAUCGGUAGGGGAGCAUUCCAUCGGCGCAGAAUAUAGACCGUAAGGUUUGUUGGAGCUUAUGGAAAAGCAAAUGUAGGUAUAAGUAACGAUAAAAAGGGUUAGAUUCCCUUUCGCCGAAAGACCGAGGUUUCCCGGGCGAUGCCAAUCAGCCCGGGGUUAGUCGAGUCCUAAGUCUCAUCCGAACGGAGCAGGCGAUGGCAGAUGAGGUUAAUAUUCCUCAACUUGCUUAUAUAGUGAAGUGGAGACGGAGCAGUGACACUGUCGCGUCCUGACGGACAUGGACGUUUAAUAUUUUAGGCAUUGAUAGGUGCAGGCAAAUCCACACCUUGAGCUGAGAAUAGAAAGUACAACAUUCUCCUCGGAGAAAGUUGAUAGUACAGGUAAUCAUACUCCCGAGAAAAUCCGCUAGCGUUAAUAUUUAAGCAACUCGUACCGCAAACGGACACACGUGGUCGGGUAGAAUAUACUAAGGCGUUGAGAGAUUCAUGGUUAAGGAACUAGGCAAAUUGACCCUGUAACUUCGGGAUAAAGGGUCCUCGUAUUUAGCUAUACGAGGCGCAGAGAAUAGGUCCAGGCAACUGUUUAACAAAAACACAGGGCUGUGCUAACUCGAAAGAUGAUGUAUACAGCCUGACACCUGCCCGGUGCUGGAAGGUUAAGAGGAGAGCUUAGAUGUAAAUCGACGGUUUGAAUUGAAGCCCCAGUAAACGGCGGCCGUAACUAUAACGGUCCUAAGGUAGCGAAAUUCCUUGUCGGGUAAGUUCCGACCUGCACGAAUGGUGUAAUGAUCUGGACGCUGUCUCAACCAUGAUCUCAGUGAAAUUGUAGUAUCGGUGAAGAUGCCGAUUACCCGCGAUGGGACGAAAAGACCCCGUGAACCUUUACUACAGCUUAGCAUUGACCUUGGUCAUCCGAUGUGUAGGAUAGGCCGGAGGCUUUGAAGCGGGCGCGCCAGCGUUUGUGGAGCCAUCCUUGAAAUACGGCCCUUUGGCUGUCUGAGGUCUAACGCGCUUUAUGUGCGGACAUUGUUUGGUGGGUAGUUUGACUGGGGUGGUCGCCUCCAAAAGCGUAACGGAGGCUUCCAAAGGUACCCUCAGGUCGAUUGGUAACCGACCUCAUGGAGUGUAAUGGCAUAAGGGUGCUUGACUGGGAGGCAGACAUGCCGAGCAGGUAGGAAACUAGGGCAUAGUGAUCCGGCGGAUGUGUAUGGAAACUCCGUCGCUCAAAGGAUAAAAGGUACUCCGGGGAUAACAGGCUGAUCCCCCCCAAGAGCUCAUAUCGACGGGGUGGUUUGGCACCUCGAUGUCGGCUCGUCACAUCCUGGGGCUGGAGAAGGUCCCAAGGGUUGGGCUGUUCGCCCAUUAAAGUGGCACGCGAGCUGGGUUCAGAACGUCGUGAGACAGUUCGGUCUCUAUCUAUCGUGGGCGUUGGAGUUUUGAGUGGUGCUGACACUAGUACGAGAGGACCGUGUUGGACAGACCUCCGGUUUACCAGUUGUGCCGCCAGGUGCACUGCUGGGUAUCUGAGUCUGGUAUGGAUAAGCGCUGAAAGCAUCUAAGUGCGAAGCCUUCCGCGAGAUGAGAACUCCUCAUAAGGGUCGUCAUAGACGAUGACGUUGAUAGGGUGUAGGUGUACAGACGGUGACGUCAAAGCCGAGCACUACUAAUUGCCCGAAACUUUCUUCG